rnacentral:lncRNA from 1 species
UGUAACCAGUCGAAAAUGAUCAACGUCAGGAAUGCACCUGCAUCUCUACAACGAUGGAAGACCUAUAUACUUAAUAUUUAGUGAGAAGAUUUAGGUUUAGAUCUUUUCUAAAUCAACAGAUCUGACAUCUGACUGAUCAAAUUCAGGUUAGCACAUCAACAUGUCUAAUCAGCCUAGUCGGCAUGGGUGAACUCGAGUCAACA